AAUAGAUAAUAAAUAAAUAAAAUCUACCUUUCACAUUCUCUAAUAUCUCACACUCUUUGAUCUCUCUCAAACAUCCCUAACCCUAGCCGCACUUUCUUUGAUCUCUCUAAAAAAUCCCUAACCCUAGCCGCUGCCAAGUUGGGCCCUAUUGCUGCCCCUAACCCUAACCCUAGCCUCCUUUCUGUCGUCGCCGCCGUCGCUGACUCGAACUUGUCAUUGCUCUCGUUGUCCUUGGUUGGGUCUCAAUCUCCGCAAGCCGCCUCCUUUGAUCUAAUUGAAGCCCUAAUUUGAAUAACGCCAAACUCGCUGCCUCUAUCAUAACUCUACUUCAAUGAAUCAACCACAACAACAGUAUCUGUUUAACUUUUUUCUUGAUCUUCUUGUAGAAGACAUACUGGAGUUCUAGGAAGAGCUUCCUACCCCUUUUGUAAGAUAGAAGGGGCUCAAGGAUGGAUAUUUCUUGAAUUUCUAAAUGAAUUGCAAAACAACAAUUACCAAGAAAAUUUGUGGUGGAAAUACAACAGAUGGAAUCGAGUUAUCUGCUUCAAGUUAGAGGGUAGGAAACUCUUUUUAGGAAUAGCAAAUACUGUUAUUUCAUUUCAUGAAAACGAGAAAUUAUCUGGUAAUUUAUUUCAAAGAAUUCACGUUAUUUGAACGUGACCCAUGAAUCCUCCCCUCUAGAUAAUACAGAAGCAUUUGAAAAUGGUGGUCAAAAAAGUGAUAUUGACCACUUUUGGUGGAUGGUAGCAGUAGUAGUCAGGACAGCUUUUCCAAAAGUCUACCAUGACAAAGAAUCUUUUUACUUUCGUCUAUUUUUUUCUGAAAUCUUCACUGUUUAGAAAGGAUUUAGAAAUUAUUUUGUAAGCUAGAUAUACCACCCCAUCUUUUUUAGCUCUUCAGAUAGAUGCAAUCUCAUUCACAUGAUGAGGGAUUUGUAUGAUCUAAAUCCAAAGAUAUUCAAAAGUCGUUUUACACUUGAAUUUUACGGAUUCCGAAAUUGGUGGUCAAGAAUAAGAGUUGGAGAGGGAAAUAUUGCUUUUUUUAAGAUGUUGCACCACAUAGGGAAUUAUGGAAAGCUAUAUUCUAACCAUCUGAACUCUACCACGUUACAUCAGAAAUGUUCAUGAACAUCUUUUGGAGAAUGGGGGAAUUAAUCACGAAAUUAUUGAUUCGGAGCUUGAUAAUCUCUUUCUUGGGACGAUUAUUGACUCGGCAAUUCGUAAUUUGCAUGGUCAUUGGAAUUUGUUUGGAAACGGUACCACUUUGCCAUAUCUUCAAUGGACUCCACCACAUGGGUGGUGUUUUCCACAUUACAGGUUCCGCAACUAGUUUGCUCACAAUUCUACUGGGGCUUAUGAUUUUUUUACAAAGGUGUAGCUUUUUGUAUUAUUCUUGUAUUUCCAAGUGUUGGAGAUAGUGAAUUAGUUUUUGGGUAAAAUUUUAAACUCAGUGUUUCUGGUGUAAUAUUAUGUUAAUUGCUUGUUAUAUUAAACUUAAUGUAGUUGUAUUAAUGUAGUCAAUUUUGGACACCUUGUAGCGAUUCUAGUUUGAGAAUCUUAGCGCAAUUACGAACUAAUUACCACAAUUGACACUCCUGAACGUAGAACAUUAUUUCUUAGCAUAAUUAUGAACUAAUUACCACAAUUGACACAC